GACGAACGCUGGCGGCGUGCUUAACACAUGCAAGUCGAACGAUGAAGCUGGAGCUUGCUCCGGUGGAUUAGUGGCGAACGGGUGAGUAACACGUGAGCAAUCUGCCCUUCACUCUGGGAUAACUGCGGGAAACUGUAGCUAAUACCGGAUACGAGACCUUGGGGCAUCCCAGGGUCUGGAAAGAAUUUCGGUGAAGGAUGAGCUCGCGGCCUAUCAGCUAGUUGGUGAGGUAAUGGCUCACCAAGGCGACGACGGGUAGCCGGCCUGGGAGGGUGACCGGCCACACUGGGACUGAGACACUGCCCAGACUCCUACGGGAGGCAGCAGUGGGGAAUAUUGCACAAUGGGCGAAAGCCUGAUGCAGCAACGCCGCGGGAGGGAUGAAGGCCUUCGGGUUGUAAACCUCUUUUAGUAGGGAAGAAGCGCAAGUGACGGUACCUACAGAAAAAGCACCGGCUAACUACGUGCCAGCCGCCGCGGUAA
rnacentral:rRNA from 1 species